GUAUGAUCUCGCUCGUCCAUCUCUAAAGGUUAAACCAUGAAGAGUCUGACUAAAGUUUAUCUGGCACUUGACAGAACAGACACACAGGGCUGGGCUGCGAAUAGCACGGGAUCAGUCCUCAAAGCGUCCUUCCUGUGGAACCUUGGCUUAGCGGCCUCRGCUAGUCUGUGCUACUGCUCUGUCUCUGGAAAAUAAACCGCUCUUCAGCCAUUUCAUUUCAUCAUAGUGUUGGGACCUGUUCCAGACGGCCUUCACAUGCCUCCAUCAAGCACUUUCUGAUGUGAAUAAUACCAACAAAAUGUUUGCAACUUGGCCUGGAACAUGAGAAAAAUGCAGAGACCAGAAGCCAGGACAGCUACUUAUUGUGGAUGCUCAUUAGAUACUUCUUAACUUCAGAGGCUGGUGCUGGAAUCUGCCUACAUAGACUGGAGGCUGAGGAAACAUUAUUUGAACCCAUCUGCUCCAGGAGAUACUGUCAGACUUGGGGAGCAUCUUGUGUUGCUGGAGCCCGAAGCAUGGAGCCCGCUUUGCCAGUUGGCCAGGCUAGCCCAGAAAUGGGAUCUAGAAGCCCUUUCCCCUUGCUGAGGUGGGGAAGAGAAGAAGAUGCCAUAAAUCCCUGUCCUGAAGUACCCAAACUUCUAUUGGAGCAGCUCUCUGCCAGUAGCCAGAUGAACAUGCUGGGAAGACAACAUAAUCAAAAGGUGCCCUGAGUGCUGGGGAGAUGCAGCUGACAUGAAGGCAGUGAAAGCAGAUUACAGGUUCCCCCUAAGAAUACACAUAAAAUGGAGUGAGGGRCAUCUCUGAUCCUUCCUGCCUCUGCCAGCAGCUGCCUCGGCCCCAGUGACCAUGGCUGUAGCUGUGCUGUGGAACGUGCAGCCCCACUAAAACACCUCUGGUAACGGAGCACAAAUAAAGCAGAUCCCCAAGACCCCGGUUCCA
rnacentral:lncRNA from 1 species